UGAAAAAUGAAGAGCCUGUGCGGCGGCGGCAGCUUCGAAUGAAGCCGAUGGAGUAUGCGCCGAAAUGUGACUGAGCCAUCUGCUGGCAGCAGUGAACAUGAUCGGCUUCCUGCACAAAAGACCCAACAACUUGACUCUCUCGAUGGUCAACGCACCUGUCCGACGUUCUUAAGAGCCGACCACUUCGCCACCCAGCGACGAGCAGACUGCCAUCCAACUUGCAAC